AUUGAACGCUGGCUGCAUGCCUUACACAUGCAAGUCGAACGGCAGCACGGGGCAGCCUGGUGGCGAGUGGCGAACGGGUGAGUAAUGCAUCGGAACGUACCUUUCAGUGGGGGAUAACGUAGCGAAAGUUACGCUAAUACCGCAUAUUCUGUGAGCAGGAAAGCAGGGGAUCGCAAGACCUUGCGCUGAUUGAGCGGCCGAUGUCAGAUUAGCUAGUUGGUGAGGUAAAGGCUCACCAAGGCGACGAUCUGCAGCGGUUCUGAGAGGAGGAUCCGCCACACUGGGAACGAGACAAGGUCCAGCCUCCUACGGGAGGCAGUAGUGGGGAAUUUUGCACAAUGGUGGCAACCCUGAUCCAGCCAUGCCGCGUGAGUGAAGAAGGCCUUCGGGUUGUAAAGCUCUUUCGGCCGGGAAGAAAUCGCUCGGGCUAAUACCCUGUGUGGAUGACGGUAGCGGAAUAAGAAGCACCGGCUAUCUACGUGCCAGCAGCCGCGGUAA
rnacentral:rRNA from 1 species